rnacentral:rRNA from 1 species
UACGAACGCUGGCGGCGUGCCUAAUACAUGCAAGUUGAGCGCUGAAGGUUGGUACUUGUACCGACUGGAUGAGCAGCGAACGGGUGAGUAACGCGUGGGGAAUCUGCCUUUGAGCGGGGGACAACAUUUGGAAACGAAUGCUAAUACCGCAUAAAAACUUUAAACACAAGUUUUAAGUUUGAAAGAUGCAAUUGCAUCACUCAAAGAUGAUCCCGCGUUGUAUUAGCUAGUUGGUGAGGUAAAGGCUCACCAAGGCGAUGAUACAUAGCCGACCUGAGAGGGUGAUCGGCCACAUUGGGACUGAGACACGGCCCAAACUCCUACGGGAGGCAGCAGUAGGGAAUCUUCGGCAAUGGACGAAAGUCUGACCGAGCAACGCCGCGUGAGUGAAGAAGGUUUUCGGAUCGUAAAACUCUGUUGGUAGAGAAGAACGUUGGUGAGAGUGGAAAGCUCAUCAAGUGACGGUAACUACCCAGAAAGGGACGGCUAACUACGU